rnacentral:rRNA from 1 species
AUGUGGACCUGUCUUCGUCAGCGCUAUGAGCCCUCUGGUGAUGCCUUAUACCUGUCUGUGGUUCGUCAGGAGCAUGCUCUUCAGCAGGGUGACUCUACUGUUGAUGACUUUUAUGCACAGAGUUCUGCUAUCUGGCGCCAGCUUGAUUCUCUCCGCAGUGCUGGUUGUCGUACUUGCCCCUGCUGCCAGGCUGUCCAGGCCGAUUUGGAGUUUCAUCGCGUCUACGAGUUCCUGUCUCGGCUCCGUAAGGAGUUUGAGCCUCGGCGUGCUCAGUUGCUUGCUCGUGGCCGUAUUUCUCUCAUGGAGGCGCUUUCAGAAAUUCGUGCUGAGGAGACUCGCCUACGCGGUGCUGGUUUGCUGGAGGUUCCCUCGGUGCUCGCUACUCGGGUUUCUUCCACUCCAUCUGCUGCACCGCCUCCUGCUCGCUCGAGUGCUCCGCCGCUCUUGCCCACUCCUUCUGGUGGCUCCGCUCGCCCCCGUUCACAUUGUGACUACUGCAAGAAUGAUGGUCAUAUUGAGUCCCAAUGCUACACCAAGAGGAAACACCUGCGCAAGGCGCGAUCAUCAGGGACU